CCCAGCCCAUAAUUCUUUUAACCUAAUUGCCAUCCCAAAUAUUCAGUAAAAUGUCUCCUUCAUCUCUUGACCCAUUUUAGCUAAGCUUCAGUACCCUACAUCAAUGGCAGUCGCCUGCCCCCUCCGUUUUCGUAAAUGUCUUCAGAUCUUGGCGUGUUUACUGACACAGGGACGACUCUUUUCAGCAUGUUUGACCAAGAUUUGAAACGUUGGGCUCUUUUGAAGCAAUGAGACAAGAGUGAAAUCUUCUACUUUUUCAAUUUAGCUCUCCUCCUCACCAUUUUCGGAAAAGUUCUCUGCUCACUUCACUCUCUUUCGUCCCUUCUAUCACUGCCAGAGAUCUCGACAAAGGACGAUUCUCUGAAAUGGUACACCCGUGAAGUCUCAAUCGUUUGAAUUAAAAAACGAUUUUUGUGUGAAUCCCACCAAAAAUGUUAGCCUAAAAAAACCUUAGUUCAUCACUAUAAAUACUAGUUUUGUUGCUCAUUUUGGAGGACGUUUUUUUUAGGGGCAGCCAUUUUCUUACUCUAAUACUCAUAGUUCUACCCUCCAAAAGAUUUCCCUUAAGGAAAUCGAGUUGCUUCUAGCUUUUGUUGGUUGCUUAAUCAAAACAGAGGCAUCUUACCUUCGCUCGAGUCAAGGUCGUAGACGGUGUGACCCGAGAUCUACGCCCCUGUUCGCUGCGCUCAAAAAAGCAAAUGGAGUCUUAAAUCGGGACUCGCUCAAAACGGAGUUUCAAAAUGAGACUCGGUGCUAUUACCAUACUCGUGCAUGGCGUCAAUACAUCUCAUAUUCUUGAACUCGCAAGGAACGAGCGAAAUUGCUUGGGACCGCUUAUGGCAUCUUUAUUCUUUUCAUUUUAUCUCACCUUUCCUUAGGAUUGCUAAUUCAUUCGUGCUUUGGAUAUGUCCCUGUUUCGAAUGGUGUGGGGGACUUAUGAUUUAUAGGAAAUAGUUUUAUCAUUUAGGAUUACUGCUCUAAAUAUUAAGUAUUUAUAUCACAAUAUAGAAUGCAAAACCUGUCUUCAUAAUCUAAAGUAAAGAUAGUUUAUUGGGAUAGUUAUUCA